rnacentral:lncRNA from 1 species
CAUCAUCCGCUAUGGCGGCCUCCUUCCUCCGGCCCCUCCUGCCUCCCAACCCCUUCCUCUCCGCCCGCAGACCUCACCUCCUCGCUGCUCCCGCCACCAUCACCACCGCCACCGUACGCUGCACCGCGGCGCCCAAACCGGCAACCUCCACGCCGAAAUCCAUCCAAGAAGAGGCCAGCAGCAACCGCGAACAGCAGCUGCCGCAGGCAGACCCCAACGGCGCCGCCACUCC